rnacentral:rRNA from 1 species
UACGUAGGGGGCAAGCGUUGUCCGGAUUUAUUGGGCGUAAAGAGCGUGUAGGCGGCCAUACAGGUCCGUUGUGAAAACUGGAGGCUUAACCUCCAGACGUCGAUGGAAACCGUAUGGCUAGAGUCCGGAAGAGGAGAGUGGAAUUCCUGGUGUAGCGGUGAAAUGCGCAGAUAUCAGGAAGAACACCCGUGGCGAAGGCGAGUCCCUGGACAACUCCUGACACUGAGGCACGAAAGCUAGGGGAGCAAACAGG